GCGGGAAUGGCGGAAUUGGUAGACGCGCAAGACUUAGGAUCUUGUGCCACCGGCGUAGGGGUUCGAGUCCCCUUUCCCGCACCA
rnacentral:tRNA from 1 species